rnacentral:tRNA from 1 species
GCCUUCGUGGUGUAGUGGUCAGCACACUGAGCCGGUAUUUCAGAGGUUUGUGGUUCGAUUCCCGGCGAAGGCC